rnacentral:misc_RNA from 1 species
GAUGAAGAACGUAGCGAAAUGCGAUAAGUAAUGUGAAUUGCAGAAUUCAGUGAAUCAUCGAAUCUUUGAACGCACAUUGCGCCCGCCAGUAUUCUGGCGGGCAUGCCUGUCCGAGCGUCAUUUCAACCCUCAGGCCCUGGUUGCCUGGUGUUGGGGCGCCGCGCACCCUCUGCGGGCGCGGGCCCCGAAAGUCAGUGGCGGGCUCGCCAGGACUCCGAGCGCAGUAAUUUUCUCUCGCUGUGGAGCGCCUGGUGGGUUACCAGCCGUAAAACACCCCAAAUUCUAAAGGUUGACCUCGGAUCAGGUAGGAAUACCCGCUGAACUUAAGCAUAUCAAUAAGCGGAGGA